UGAAUAUACUUAUAGCAUAGAGUGUUCUGAUAGUUUCAUGAGCAUAUAUUUAUCUCCAAACUCAUAGAGUUCUAUACCCCAAAUUUAUAAAGCUGUGUGAGUGUGUGUGUGUGUGUGUGUGUGUGUGUGUGAGAGAGAGAGAGAGAGAGAGAGAGUGACUGUAGCUUCAA
rnacentral:sRNA from 1 species